rnacentral:rRNA from 1 species
UGGGGAAUAUUGCACAAUGGGCGCAAGCCUGAUGCAGCCAUGCCGCGUGUGUGAAGAAGGCCGUCGGGUUGUAAAGCACUUUCAGCGGGGAGGAAGGCGUUAAGGUUAAUAACCUCAUCGAUUGACGUUACCCGCAGAAGAAGCACCGGCUAACUCCGUGCCAGCAGCCGCGGUAAUACGGAGGGUGCAAGCGUUAAUCGGAAUUACUGGGCGUAAAGCGCACGCAGGCGGUCUGUCAAGUCGGAUGUGAAAUCCCCGGGCUCAACCUGGGAACUGCAUUCGAAACUGGCAGGCUAGAGUCUUGUAGAGGGGGGUAGAAUUCCAGGUGUAGCGGUGAAAUGCGUAGAGAUCUGGAGGAAUACCGGUGGCGAAGGCGGCCCCCUGGACAAAGACUGACGCUCAGGUGCGAAAGCGUGGGGAGCAAACAGG